CCUAGCGGCGGACGGGUGAGUAAUGCGUAGGAAGCUGCCCGAUAGAGGGGGAUACCAGUUGGAAGCGACUGUUAAUACCGCAUAAUGUCUACGGACCAAAGUGUGGGACCUUCGGGCCACAUGCUAUCGGAUGCGCCUACGUGGGAUUAGCUAGUUGGUGAGGUAAUGGCUCACCAAGGCGACGAUCUCUAGCUGGUUUGAGAGGAUGAUCAGCCACACUGGAACUGAGACACGGUCCAGACUCCUACGGGAGGCAGCAGUGGGGAAUAUUGGACAAUGGGCGCAAGCCUGAUCCAGCCAUGCCGCGUGUGUGAAGAAGGCCUUCGGGUUGUAAAGCACUUUCAGCGAGGAGGAAGGGAUGUAUGUUAAUAGCAUGCAUUUUUGACGUUACUCGCAGAAGAAGCACCGGCUAACUCUGUGCCAGCAGCCGCGGUAAUACAGAGGGUGCAAGCGUUAAUCGGAAUUACUGGGCGUAAAGCGCACGUAGGCGGUUAGUUAAGUUGGAUGUGAAAGCCCCGGGCUCAACCUGGGAAUUGCAUUCAAAACUGGCUAACUAGAGUAUGUGAGAGGGGGGGUAGAAUUCCAAGUGUAGCGGUGAAAUGCGUAGAGAUUUGGAGGAAUACCAGUGGCGAAGGCGGCCCCCUGGCACAAUACUGACGCUGAGGUGCGAAAGCGUGGGGA
rnacentral:rRNA from 1 species